CCUUCGAUAGCUCAGUUGGUAGAGCGGUGGACUGUAGAAGUAAAAGACUUAAAGAAGAAAUCCAUAGGUCGCUGGUUCAAAUCCGGCUCGAAGGA
rnacentral:tRNA from 1 species